rnacentral:rRNA from 1 species
UACGUAGGGGGCUAGCGUUGUCCGGAUUUAUUGGGCGUAAAGAGCGUGUAGGCGGCCAAGUAGGUCCGGUGUGAAAACUCGAGGCUUAACCUCGAGAUGUCAUCGGAAACCAUUUGGCUAGAGUCCGGAAGAGGAAAGUGGAAUUCCUGGUGUAGCGGUGAAAUGCGCAGAUAUCAGGAAGAACACCAGUGGCGAAAGCGGCUUCCUGGUCCAGCACCGACGUUCAGGCACGAAAGCGUGGGGAGCAAACAGG